rnacentral:rRNA from 1 species
UUCGGGUGGGAACUCAUGAGAGACUGCCGCAGACAAUGCGGAGGAAGGCGGGGAUGACGUCAAAUCAUCAUGCCCCUUAUGACCUGGGCUACACACGUACUACAAUGGGAGUUAAUAGACGGAAGCGAGAUCGCGAGAUGGAGCAAACCCGAGAAACACUCUCUCAGUUCGGAUCGUAGGCUGCAAUUCGCCUACGUGAAGUCGGAAUCGCUAGUAAUCGCAGGUCAGCAUACUGCGGUGAAUACGUUCCCGGGCCUUGUACACACCGCCCGUCACACCACGAAAGUCGGAAGUGCCCAAAGCCGGUGGGGUAACCUUCGGGAGCCAGCCGUCUAAGGUAAAGUCGAUGAUUGGGGUGAAGUCGUAACAAGGUAGCCGUAUCGGAAGGUGCGGCUGGAUCACCUCCUUUCUAGGGAGA